rnacentral:lncRNA from 1 species
AAAGAAAAGACCAUGGAUCUACUAGUUGCAGAUUUCAGCAGUAAUGCCAAGGGGGCAAGAAGUGACCAGCAGAACAAUUAGGCCAUGGCAACAGAAGCCAACUACAACCCAUGUUCCAAUCUAUGACCUCCCUCUCCUGCUGGUACAAGGAUAUGAUCUGGAGUCUGGGAAGUUCAAGAGCAUGGCACCAACAUCUGGCAAGGGCUUUCAUUCUGCAUCAUCUCAUGGAGGAAAAUAAAAAGGAGGCUGGAUGCUCCUGUGAAGUACGUCUUUUAUCUACUUGCUAUCUUUGCAAUUCCUUCAUGCUACAAUGAGAGAUAGAGUUUAAACCUGAAAACAUUCUUGGAAAAGGAAUCUUCAUUAAUUCAAAUAUACCACAAGAUUCACCACCAUCACUACUCUAAGUAUUUUUCUUCUUGAGAAAGAGAAGGAGAGGGAAAGCAAGGAAGAGGAAGAGAAAGAGAAAUGGAUAAAAACAUGGUCAAGUAGAAGAGUCUGUGAUUUCAGGUAAAUCCAGAUUUGGAGCUUAAAUGACUCAAAUGCUUUGCCUACAUUGAUCCUACAUUCAGGCUGCUUACAUAUCUCUUGGCUUCUCUGAGAACCAGAUUGUCACCACUUAAAGUGUCUUCCAGAGUCCUCACGAGUAUCAGAGAAGGCAUAAUCUGUACACGUGGCUUCAUUUAAAAUGAAAAUAUCAAGCAGUGUCAUUUUCACAAGUAUCCCCACACUGUCUGAGGCUGAAAAGAAGAGUGUAGCUAUGCACACUGCAGUGAGAAGAAAAUUUCAGCUCAAUUGGAGGAUGUAAAGGUACAAAUUGAAAUACCACUGCUCCUAGUUCUGAUGCAAAAUUGAAAAGAGUGCACUGGGUCUUCAAAUGGCAUAUUGACAAGGAGAAAGAGGAAAGGAUGCCCCAGGACAGCCUGGGGGUCAAGGCUGGGCUCAGGCAUGCCUGGACAAGCCAUGCAAGUUGUCUCCGGACUUGAACCACGUAUCAGAGGAGCUAUUUGAGGAGCCACAUCAGCAUACCUGCUUCUGUGGGCCCCCAGGCUGUGGUGCUCAGCCCUUGCACUAUGAAACAUUUUUUUUUUCCAGAAGCCAAAGCUUUGAGCAUCUCCUCCCAUGUAGAGAGUGUAUAUGUUUACGUCCAUGUCUUUCGCCAUGUGAACGCAUGCAACCACCACCUCAAAUAUCAUAAAUCCUCUCUCUCCCCCUUUCUGUCUGCCUGUUUAUCUACAAUCUGUCUAUUUAAAUUCUUUUUAAACAAGAAGGGAAUAUCUUUAUGCCUGUUUGUAGGGAUAUUCUACAUCCAUCUGUUAUUUACAUCAUUCGUUUUCCUGAGGUGUCUCCAACAAAUCCUGGCUGGAUGCACUGUAUGUGUUAUUAAUAAAACAGCUGUAAAAA